rnacentral:rRNA from 1 species
UACGUAGGAUGCAAGCGUUGUCCGGAAUUAUUGGGCGUAAAGAGCUCGUAGGCGGUCUGUUGCGUCGGCUGUGAAAACCCGGGGCUCAACUCCGGGCCUGCAGCCGAUACGGGCAGACUAGAGUUCGGCAGGGGAGACUGGAAUUCCUGGUGUAGCGGUGAAAUGCGCAGAUAUCAGGAGGAACACCGGUGGCGAAGGCGGGUCUCUGGGCCGAUACUGACGCUGAGGAGCGAAAGCGUGGGGAGCGAACAGG